rnacentral:rRNA from 1 species
GACAGAGGGGGCAAGCGUUGCUCGGAAUUACUGGGCGUAAAGGGCGCGUAGGCGGGAUGGCAAGUCGGUCGUGAAAUCCCUCGGCUCAACCGAGAAACGUCGGCUGAUACUGCCGUUCUUGAGGGAUGCAGAGGAGACUGGAAUUCCCGGUGUAGCGGUGAAAUGUGUAGAGAUCGGGAGGAACACCGGUGGCGAAGGCGGGUCUCUGGGCAUUUCCUGACGCUGAGGCGCGAAAGCGUGGGGAGCAAACGGG